rnacentral:rRNA from 1 species
AUUGAACGCUGGCGGCAGGCCUAACACAUGCAAGUCGAACGAGUGGCGGACGGGUGAGUAAUGUCUGGGAAACUGCCCGAUGGAUGGGGAUAACUACUGGAAACGGUAGCUAAUACCGCUCACCAUCAGAUGUGCCCAGAUGGGAUUCGCUUGUUGGUGGGGUAACGGCUCACCAAGGCGACGCUCCCUAGCUGGUCUGAGAGGAUGACCAGCCACACUGGGACUGAGACACGGUCCAGACUCCUACGGGAGGCAGCAGUGGGGAAUAUUGCACAAUGGGCGAAAGCCUGAUGCAGCCAUGCCGCGGGUAUGAAGAAGGCCUUCGGGUUGUAAAGUACUUUCAGCGGGGAGGCGUUACCCGCAGAAGAAGCACCGGCUAACUCCGUGCCAGCAGCCGCGGUAAUUC